GAUCUGUCACAUAGAAUUUUAUAUUUUAUUCAACUUUACUUCUAACUAUCCAUACUUCAUUGAACCCUUAUUAACCCAACACAGUUUAAUGAUGAAAUUUUAUAUUUUCAUCUUUAUAUUUAUAAACAUAAUAGUUAAAGAAAUAUAAUACUUAAAAAUAUAUUAAUUAAAAAUUACAAAACCUAAAACAUUUAAUACCUAAAAAUACAUUAAUUAAAAAAACGAAGCCUAAAAAUAUAUUAAUAAAAAAAAUGACAUCUACAAAUUAUAUUUUAUCUUGAUCUCUUAAUAACGGUUCAUCCAAAUUUGUCGUCCCUCCUCCGACAUGCUACUCGAAUAUUUGGAAACGUUUUUAACAAGACAGUCGAAAUUAAUUUGUAAUAGUUCGAUUAAUAUAAUAUUUUAUCGAAAUUAGUUUGUAUUAGAUUUGUAGUGAGUAUAUUUCUUUUUAAGCGAGUUUUUAUUUUUAAAUACUUCAUUUGUAUUAUUUAUUUGAAAAAAAUAAAACACAUAAAAAUUGAUUUAUUAAAUAAUAUAAUACCUAAAAAUAUGGUUAAUUUUAUUUGUGGUUUAAUUAAAAAAAUAUAAAAAUAUAAGGGAAUGUGAUUACAUAUAUAUUUUGUUUGAAAUUUAAUUAAAAAAGAAAAGAUUAAUUUUAUUUAACCACUCAAUGAUCAUACAACUCUUUAAUUCAACCAUCCUCCAUGUCAUCAUACACACUAUAUUCAACAUCUAUUCAAUCAUAAUCACCAUCUAUCCAACUUCUAUUGAACCCUUGUUGUAGAUGUCCUAAGAGAAAUUUGAUUUGAAUGGUUGUAUUUUUUAUUUAUUAAAAGAGAAUAGAAAAAACUAACCUAGGUACUUGAUUUGCUACAAAAUAUCUCAAACUUUGUUAACGCCUCAAAUGAGCCACGUAUCGUUAGAGUUUUUACCACAAUAGAAUGAUGGGGAAAUAUUUAUUAUUUUAAUGUUCUUUUAAAAAUAUUUAUUAUUUUAAUUUGAAAACUAAUAUUAUUGUUUCUUUCUUAAAUAUGUUUCUUUCGAUUACCCUGGAACAAGACGGUGAAUAGAAAAUAAUAAAGACACGAAAUCGCAAACUGGGGCUCCACUCAUUGUCGCUUCUCCAUCCAUCGUCGACCACCUGUGGCCUCCUCCACCUGUCAUCGAUGACUUGUGACCUCCUCCACCACCCAUCACUCCAUUCAGAUGGAUUGAUUACAAACAUGUUAUUAUGUUUCUUUUUUCUUGUUAUGACAGAUUUGUGUAAUCAUUUUUUGAUCAGUUUUUGUUUGUUUUGUAAAUGAAUUUUAUUGUAGAAAUGAUUGAUAAUGAGGAUUUUUCUAUAA